rnacentral:rRNA from 1 species
CUACGGGAUGCAGCAGUGGGGAAUAUUGCACAAUGGACGAAAGUCUGAUGCAGCAACGCCGCGUGGAGGAUGACACAUUUCGGUGCGUAAACUCCUUUUAUAUCCCAAGAUAAUGACGGUACUAUAUGAAUAAGCGCCGGCUAACUCCGUGCCAGCAGCCGCGGUAAUACGGAGGGCGCAAGCGCUACUCGGAAUCACUGGGCGUAAAGAGCGUGUAGGCGGAUUAAAAAGUCAGAAGUGAAAUCCUAUAGCUUAACUAUAGAACUGCUUCUGAAACUCUUAAUCUAGAAUAUGGGAGAGGUAGAUGGAAUUUCUGGUGUAGGGGUAAAAUCCGUAGAGAUCAGAAGGAAUACCGAUUGCGAAGGCGAUCUACUAGAACAUUAUUGACGCUGAGACGCGAAAGCGUGGGGGGCAAACAGGAUUAGAUACCCUUGUAGUC